rnacentral:rRNA from 1 species
GAACGCUCGUAGCAAUACAGGAGUGGCAGACGGGUGAGUAACACGUGGGAACGUGCCCUUCGGUUCGGAAUAACCCAGGGAAACUUGGGCUAAUACCGAAUACGUCCGCAAGGAGAAAGAUUUAUCGCCGAGGGAUCGGCCCGCGUCCGAUUAGCUAGUUGGUGGGGUAACGGCUCACCAAGGCGACGAUCGGUAGCUGGUCUGAGAGGAUGAUCAGCCACACUGGGACUGAGACACGGCCCAGACUCCUACGGGAGGCAGCAGUGGGGAAUAUUGGACAAUGGGCGCAAGCCUGAUCCAGCCAUGCCGCGUGAGUGAUGAAGGCCCUAGGGUUGUAAAGCUCUUUCGGCGGGGAAGAUAAUGACGGUACCCGCAGAAGAAGCCCCGGCUAACUUCGUG